GUGAAUGGGCAGUGUAAGGGGUUUUCAGUAGCCGUUGCAAGUGGAAGACGAAGGCCUACACCAAGGAGCCAUUGAGGAGACCACGCUGGGAGUAUGUGCUGUGAAACACAGAGAUGCCACUGAUAGACCAGAGGACAUUGGGAUUGUCCUGGAGGGCCAGGUGGUACUGCGUGAUCUGGACAACGUUGCCUUUGCUGUUGCCAUGCUGUUUGGCCUAAUGUAUGCCUUAAACCUCAACUACCCUCCUGAACUUAAGUACUGUUUCGAAGUGCUCCAGAAGGUUGUGAUGGAGCUGGACGGCAACACACUGUCAAAGAAAGCCCAGGCUCUCAAAAACAGACUCCACCAGUGAGCUGUUGCCAUUUAAUGGCAAGAUGGAUGCAACAGAGUCUCCCUAUCUUCUUGUGGAAUAUGGACCGUUGCUGCUUUUUCAUUGGACUGGACUUUUGACACUUACGCAUUUCACUUGCGCUGCCUUAAUGUAUGUUCUUGUUUAUAGCAAGUGUUGUGUAUUGUUUUCAGCAGAUUUUUUUCUCAGGGCCGUGUAUUGCAAAAUGACGUACAGAAAUAAUUUUAGCAUGUAGAAUUCAUACACAAAGUAUGUAGGAUCUUUAUGAGACUAACUUGAGCAGGAAAAGUUGAUUUACAACAACACUGCAUAUACUUUACAUAAAAAUCUCAUGUUGCUUUAAUAGGUAAGAAUUGAAUACAGUAAACAUAAAAGGGAAACUUUAAAUUAACCCCAAAAAAUGAUGUUGGGUCAUCACAGAAUAAUAGAAUAUAAUUAACAUUAAUGAAAAACUUUUACAAAUAAGAAUUCAGUAGAUUAAAUAGAAAUUAAUUUUCUAAAUACAUUUUGACUAAACAUAAAUACAAUAUGUGCAACCGAUUUUUUUUUAUGUUAAUUCAACAGAGUUUUUUUUUUCAGUGUAUAGGAUGAGUCAGGUUUCCUCCAUCUCUGCUUAUCACGAAACAUUAAUGGCUGAUUUGUGGAGAAAGGUGAUCUUCAUCUGAGAGUGGUAAAGUGUAUAAUGGAGAUGUCCUUCACUGCUGGAUAAUUAGAGCAGUACUAGGCCUGAGAUUUUGAUCUGUAGGAACAAACAAGGUCUGAUUUAUUCUAAUGUUUCCACUUCAGAUACUGCUCAGGGGAAAUUGUAAUACUAAGCUUUGGCGUGGAAUCAGAGAAUCUGAUUUCCUGGUUCCUCUGCUUAUCUCAUUACCAAUUAUCGUUAACUGCUGCCAUUGCCUCCUACUGAGUACAGAACAGUCCUACACAGAGGAAGCGUUUCAAUUAUUUAUGUGUCCCAUGGAUAAGUUAUAUUGUUGUCACUGACGCAAACAGAGAAUUAAUGCUACUCUUGUGCCUUUUAAGGAAGGCACAGGAAAUCUAAGAAUAUUCAAGUACUAAUGCGAACUGCAGUGACUGUCUGUUACACAUGAUGUUACCUGGAAUGUAGCCCUGAAUUAGACAGUAAUUAUCCAAAAAUGUACUAAAAUGUUACUAUCACCUCAAUAGAAUAGUAUACAUGUCAUUUCUUACCAACUGGCUAUUUUCUCAGUAUUUGAUUAAUAUUCUUGUGCAAUUUCCAUCAAUCACAUGAUUGUUUGUAAUCAGUGUAAAAGUAGGUUAGAAUAAUCAUGUAAAAACCCAACACAGAGAAAUACCCUAGACUUUGGUUACCCUCCAAUGACAGACAGCUGUUACCUGUGUGGUUACCAGCAGAUAUGGUAAUGUUUUUAAUAAUUAUACAUAUCCUACAUGGCUUGUAAAAAGUGACGUAACAAGUGUCCGAACUCAGACCCACUUAAUGUGCAAGAAAUGUUUGUUUUAUGACUUGUGUAUAGGCUAAAAACACUGUCAUGUGUUUAUAUGAUGUUAACUAGUUUAGAACAAACAAUAAAGUUUAGAUUUGCGAUGGUAUUAGCAAUUGAAAUAAAAUAAAAAGAUUAACCGUU